CGCACCUUGCGCUCCUUGGUAUUCCGAGGAGCAUGCCUGUUUGAGUGUCAUGAUAAUCUCAAGUCAACAUUUUAGUUUAUCUAAUUUGUUGAUUUGGACUUGGAGGUAGUGCUGAUCUUUGUAUUGGCUCCUCUUAAAUGUAUUAGCUGGAUUACUGUCAGUAAUAGUCCAUGGUGUUGUAAUCUCGGCGCUGUGACUUAACUGAACGACAAUCUGCUUCUAGUGUAGUUGCCCUUGGCAAUAUUUGUACACUUGACCUCAAAUCAGGUAGGACUACCCGCUGAACUUAA
rnacentral:misc_RNA from 1 species